rnacentral:lncRNA from 1 species
UUCAACAUAUAUAACACACGUACAUAUACAUACUCAAACUCAAAAUAUCUCAUAAUAAGAAUUUUAAUUAUUAAAUUCUUACUUUAAUAAUUUAUAAAAAUUCGGGUUGUCACAUCCUUCCUUCCUUAUAAGGAUUCCGUCCUCGGAAUCACUGAAACCCUACCUUACUAAGGUUUUCACAAAAUCUCUUUCACAAUUAUCGUUGAAUAACUUCAACACGUUAACUUAGCAAAAAGUUUUACAUACAUAUAUACAUCAUUCAUUUAUUCAACAACUUUUAGGUUUUAUUACAUAACCUUCAAUUAAACAUAGUCAUAUAUCAAAUAUUAUAUAUUCUUUAACCCAUUCAUUUCCUUUUCUAAGGAUCGUUAUCAUAAACACUCGGGAUAUUACAUUCACCCCUUCUACGAAUUUUGUCCUCGAAAUUUUAUUUAUUAAUCUUUAUUCAUUCAAUCUAUCAGAAUAGAUUUUACGUUAAUAUCUAUUUAUUCAUUUGGUUCUACAACCAAAUUCUUUAUCUAAGGAUCUUUUUAAGAUCAUCAUUUUCCUCACCUCUUCCUCUUUUAGGAGUUUCACAUUUCUCUUCCUUCUGGAAUUUCAAUUUUUUUUUCGAAAUUAUUAUGUUUAGCUUAAUUUUCUCAUCUUUUCCACUUUCACCUUUUAGAAUAAUAAGAAUCUUCCACAAUUGCUCAAUAAUUGGGAAGCGAUAUGAAUAACAAGAAUUUAAAAGAUUCCAAAUCAUGCUGAGGGGUCAUAAGACCUUGAACUACGUCCCUAGGUUAUCAAGUAUCUCGACUUGAACCUUUAACAGUCAUAAGACUAUACGGAUCUUGAACUCUUCUCCAGGUUUAACAGUGCAUCACCACCAUAAACCAUCUUUAACAGAAUGUUUAGCAAUCACACAGACUGAAAACACUCUUUGCAAGUACUCUAGGUGAUCAACCUAUCGUACCCCUACGUCGUGCACAACGUAUUACAUCUUAACAUCGUAACGACUAUAUGCCUUACUUUCGGAUCCAUUGUCUCCGAUAACAUGUCCCUUUUACAGGGUUGUUCACCUUAGCUUUUCAACAUCUGAAUCCGCACCAAAACAAUUUGGUUUGGCAUAACUUCUCAAGAAACGCUUGAAUUUCAUGAACAUCUUUCAAUAUUCGUCUAGCUGAAUCAAAUAGCAUAGACUUCUACAACAAUUCGGACAUCAAUCAAUAUAUAUAUAUAUAUAUAUAUAUAUAUAUAUAUAUAUUCUCAUAUCUUAAAGAAAUCUCAAAAAUCCUUUUAUGGCGUCAUGAUUAUGACGUUGUCAUACUACAUCUCACCAUAGUGGGCUGACGAUCAUAUGAUCACAUCCAACACCAGGUUCCAUUGCAUUGAUGACUCCAUCGUUUAUCAUAUCACCCAAUAUAUAUAAUUAAAAUAUAUUUUGAAAAUUUAAAAAUCAUCAUUUUUUUCUAGCCGAAACAAACAGCAUAGAUACGCGAAUAAUAGCACUGUUUUAAAAAUUCUUUGGUUCACUAGUGUGACCCAACAUUUUUCAAAAAUUAAAAGUACAACCAUCGGCACGAAGUCAAUAAAUUUCGAAAAUCUAGCAAAGCUAGAAGAUUUGGAAAACCUAUGUGUCCACUUUCUAUACUGAUCCAUUGCUUAAUAAUUCUAUCUAUUUCCAUAAUCCUCAAUUCUUCAUUCAUAGCUUAUCUAUACCCCAGUAUAGUCCAUCAAACUUACUGCACAUUGGAAGUUCAGGAACUUUCCACAAUAAUAUGAGUUUAAGAACUUAUCCUAGUCAGACCAUAGGCGUCCAUUCGCUGAGGGGUUCAAAACAUACCAUAUUAUUAUGAGUCACGAACUUACCAUAUGCAUUAGUUUUAAGAACCGCACCUAAUCCUAAUAAUAUCUGACUAAUCUUAAUAGUUUCUAAUUAUCAAACAUACACAUGAGAAGAAUCACCUUUUCGCCACAUAUACAUCGAUAGCGCGACACCAAUAUUCCAAUGAUUAUUAAUGUGAUAAACUGAGUGCAAGCACAAAAUCCUCGCCCAUACAAGGAUUUGUAUAACUCAGCCAUCACAUGAGUCCUCAAUUGAAAUUCCACCUAACUCUUACUCUUAACUUGCUCUUUGCUCGAUACAAAUUCCUCGUAUCACAUUAUCUAUAACUCCUCGUGAGUUUAUCUCGUACUAUAUCAUAGUACAUUAUCUUCAUAGCAUCAAGCUAUAAUUAUUCAAACAAUAUAGACCAUCUUUCUUUUAUAACUUAAACAGAUCACGUCGUGAUCUUAUUCUAUAACCAUCUCUCUUAAAAAAAUUUUCUUAACCCGUGAUCGUUUUGUUUUACGAUCCUCUUUCUUUCCUUUUUCAUCAUUUACGAUUUCAUUUAUGCUUUUAAUCUUACAGGCUUUGUCUAUUCAUCAUUAUUCGUUAUCUUGGCUAUUGGAGUUAGGGUAACUCCCAUUUUUUAUCUUUAUAUCUCUUCAAGAUUCUUCUUUGAAUUUUCUUGUUUAUAUAACAAUUCUUCCUUUAAGAAUUUCUAACUUCAUUUACAUUGCUCAACAAUUCAUUCGAGUUCUACAUUUUCAACAUACGUAUCCAUUUUCUAUACUUGGUACACAUCGAGUCUCUAAUAGUUUCAAUAUGGUACAUUGAGUAGUUUCCCACAAACAACCAACAAACUAGGUUCUGAGUUGCUAGUUCGUAUAUACCUCCGCUCUAUGAAGGAAUCAUUUAGCCCAGAUACCAUACAUCAACUAUUAAAGAGUACAACUGUACCAUACUUAAAUAUAACUUUUUUAUUCUUAACUUCUUUAUCAUUCUCUUCUUAUAGACAUUAUCUAUUUAUUAUCACCUUACAUCCUUAUUAUUGGAGUUGGGUAACCCCACAUUCCUACUCCUUAUAACUCAACGAGAUUCUUCUUUGAAUCCUCUCACGCAUGUUUUAAUCCUUUCUUUAUAAAUUUUUUAAAUUACUUCUUAUUAUUCAAACUCUACUUGAGCUUAUUCUUUCAUUAUCUUCACCUUCCUUCUCUAAGGUUAUAGCUUACGGUACUCCUACCUAAGGUUUAUAAACUACAACAAUGAUACCAACUAUAACGACCCCAAAAUUCAUACAAUUUAAUUAUUAACUUCGGUCGUUAAUAACACAUCUACCUUUUGAUUUUACAUCAUUAUUCGAUGAUAAACUUUAUAUAAUGCGGAAUAAUUUAAACUUUUAUGUCUUCUUACUUUAAUUCCCUGAAUCAAAACCUUUAUCAUCUACAUGUCUUUGAAUCAAUCUUAUUUUAUGAUUCACUUUAUCACUGUUAUUAUAUAAAAUUUUACAUUUCAAUCCGAUAACCUUUACAUAUCAGAUAACUCUAACUUUAGCUUUACAACUCAACAUAAAACUAUACAUCAUAAAACAUUUAGUACAUCUCAUGAAUCUUAAUCAUGGUAUAAAGAAAUAACAACUUUAGCUAAAAUAUUAAUCUUCGUGUAUUAUUUCUGAUCCACGUCAUUCAAGUAGCACAUAGUGUUACCUUCAAUCCUUAACCUGCAAAAAUUGUUAUUUGCAAGGUUGAGCUUGACAGCCCAACAAAAUCUUACAGUUUUUAUGCAUCACGUAGCACAUAGUAACAUGCUCAACAUAUAUCUCAUAAACAUUGGACUAACAUAACAUACAUGUUACAGUUCAUAUAACAAGUAUAAAGAUUGAGUUCCUUACUCAAUCAGCAUGCUUUACUCAAUCAACGUAGUCAUAAGUUGACUUUAACAUUUCAUACAUUCAACAUAUAUAUAACACAACAUGCUCUUUGCAAUAAAGAUUUAAAACGGUUAAUCACUAAGUUCACAUAACAAAUAGGAACUGAAAGACUUGCCUUGAUCGUUGUUUACCAAUAACAGUUUAAUCAGCUUACAGUUAUCUGCACUUCACAUGCCCUACACAAUUAUAUAAUCAUGCAAAUCAACUAUUAGUCACAUAGCAACGCAUAGUAAUUGUAAUGUAAACUUUAAUCUAUGUCUCAUAACCCUUCCUAUCAUAAAUACACAAUGUUCAAUUUGAUUGUGUUAACUUUCAACUUAUAUCUCACUGUAUUUCAUAUUUGAAGUUUAUUCAAGUGUUUAAGUCUUGGUAGGAAUCAUUAUUGGUCUUAUAUUAACACUAUUCAAUAACUUAUUAUUUUCAUUUCAUUUGAUUUAAAACACUUUUUACGUUCAUUAUCACUUAUCACGGCGUUUCGACGUUUAUUUGUCACACGCCCAAUUUGUCUCUCUUGUGUGUGCUUAGUAUGCGUAUACAACUUAUCUAAUAUAUCAUUUAUUAAUGUUAAGCAUCAUUAUACUUCAUAAUAUUCAUGUUCUAUAUCUUAGAACAACAUCUAUUAUCGUCGACAUCACUAUACUUGUGUAUGUACAUGUCCGACGCCCUCCGAUUGCCUCCGAAUACACAUUAGUCACAAAGAUGACCAUUUUGACUACUGUUACCGACCUCAAAUUGAAAAACUUAAAGAAUAAAAGUUGUAGGUCUAUUCGUUAUCGUUCCGGAUCAUCUUCAAUCACCUCAAUCGGAGUUCGUAUGAAAACGUUAUGCCUAUUUUACUAAAACAGGUCAAAGUAGUCACACUUGACAUACUUUGGGCGCAGCUGCGCCCAAUUAAGCCUUGGGCACAGCGCAACUGCGCCCUACAGUGCAGCUGCGCCUCAAAUGACUUAGGGCACAGCCCAGCUGCGCCUGUUAGCAGAAACGGGACCUGAAGAUACUAUUCUUCGCGAUUUUUGACCCUUUUUCUCCUACUAAUCUUCAUAACUUGAGUUAUACACAUCCAAAUUAGUCCGUUUUUAAUUCUAUAGAUUCAUAAUUCAUAGAACUACAACAUACGAGGAUUCUAACAAUUUAUAGAAACAUUAACCAACCUAAAAUUUGACCCAAAAUACAUGUUCAUACUCUAUUUUCAUGUUUUAACACAUUUAGCGAAUUUGAUCGCCAUGGCUUCGUUACUUAACCGAUUAACAUGAUUUAAACUACCCCGCUUUCGUUUCUUAACAUACUAACAUAAUCCAACAUCAAUUUACAAAUUAUCACACAUAUUAAACAUGGAAUUUUGUACUUUCAAAAGUUAAUUUUAUAUAACAUACACUGUUAUUUACUUUUCUACCUAUAAACCCAAAUAUCAUGUAUUUAACAAGCAAGUAACAAUCAUAUAUGAUGAUUAACAGAUUUUGCAAGAGUAUACAUACAUAACAACCACCUCUUGUACAAUAAUUCAACAAAACUCAACUUUAGAGAAUAGAAAAUUACAAGACUGAGAAUUAGAAUUAGGGGUAAAUUAUACCUAAAUCCUUUGAUGGUAUGAUAACAAAGUAUAGCAAUCCUUUUCCAAAACCCUUCUUCUCCAACUCUCAAUAUCACUGUGUUUCUUCUCUUUUCUUCCAAGCUCUCUCUCUAAUUCUCUGUUAUCUACUUAGCCUUAGGCAAAGAAAUAGAAUGCGUAGAAAAUAAAAUGGCCUCCCUCACCCCCACGUACGUCAGGUCACAACCCCAAAGGUUUGCGUCAGUUAAAUUAGACCAAAGGCCACAAGGCCUUGUUUGGCCACGCACCAAUUCCCCCAACUAGAUUAUUUUAAUAAUCUUUAUAUUAUAUAGUUUCAUGUCACACCAUUAAAUUAAUUUAAUUAACUCAUACUUAUAAUUAAAAUAAUUAUAAUUCCCAUUGUAAUAUACUUAAUAAAUCUUUACAUAUCUAAUUUAAUUAAUAAAUUAGAUCAAAACAACAUUUUAUUUAAUUUAAUUAUUUUCUUAAAUAUUAAGCAAUUGAUUUAAUUUAAUUAUUUCCUUAAAUUAAAUCCUUCAAAUAAAAUUAACAUUAUUCAAUUUAAUUUACAUUAAUCAAUUUAGUUACUAAAUUAAUUCACCACAAUUUUAUCAACCAUUUAUUUAUCUCAAUAAAUAAAUAAAUUUAAAAUAUUUAUUUAAUUCAAUAAAUAUUUAAAAUUAAUUACUAAAUUCAUUUAAUUCCUUCAAUAGUUAACUCAACUAUUAAACCUCACUUUCCCAAUAUAUGAAUAUAUAUUUCUCUUCACACCAGAUCAUAUAUUUCAACAUAUAUAGCACGUAUAUAUACAUACUCAAACUCAAAACAUCUCAUAAUAAUAAUUUUAAUUAUUAAAUUCUUACUUUAAUAAUUUAUAAAAAUUUGGGUUGUCACAUCCUUCCCUCCUUAUAAGGAUUCCGUCCUCGGAAUCACUGAAACCCUACCUUACUAAGGUUUUCACAAAAUCUCUUUCACAAUUAUCGUUGAAUAACUUCAACACGUUAACUUAGCAAAAAGUUUUACAUACAUAUAUACUUCAUUCAUUUAUUCAACAACUUUUAGGUUUUAUUACAUAACCUUCAAUUAAACAUAGUCAUAUAUCAAAUAUUAUAUAUUCUUUAACCCAUUCAUUUCCUUUUCUAAGGAUUGUUAUCAUAAACACUCGGGAUAUUACAGUGGUGGUUGAUCAUGUCUGUAUAUAUAUAUUUACAGCUUUAAUAUAUAUAACUGCUUACUGCUUUUCAUAUAAACUGCGGCAUCAUGUGAGCCUAGGAAUCAUGUGAUCACAGAUUCAGUCUACUGAAUCUAGAUUCAGUUCCCGUGAUGGACAUUUUCAGCUGUAAGCAGCUUGUACAUUAUUUACGGUGUCUGAAUUUCCUUGGAUGGCUGUCAUGCCCAUGAGGAGUUCGGCAUUGCUGUAUAUUAUUUUCUCGAAGAUGUCUCGCAUCUCGAAAAUAAAAGAAAACAAGCCAAACAUUUAAUAAUAAAAUGAAAGUAUGAAAAGGUCUCAAUUUCUAUUGAGCACAGGGUUUGAAAAACCUUUUUCAUAAAACAUCAUUACUAUAUCUUGCUUAAAACUGAAUUUUUGUAUAAAUUCAAACCCUUUGUAUAUAGGUGCGAACGAGGCCUCACACUAUUUUUAAAUAAUUGUACAUUGAUCCACACACACAAACACAUAUAUUCAUAUAACAGUUUCUUAAGAAAUGGCGGUCACCGUGGCAACUCGGAUGUCGGGGGGUGCCUAACACCUUCCCUCCGCAUAAUCAAGCCCCCGAACCCAAAUGAAUCUCAGUUUCACAGACCUGUUUAGCAGUGUCACAUCACUGGGUCAAUGUGCAAACCUUUUCCGGUUGCGUUGGUACAACCAGUUAAAAACACCAACUGGCGACUCUUAAAGUCAAAUCGUCGACAUUACACAUGUCGGACCUUUUUCACUUGUUUUUUCAAACAAAUCUCACAUAACAAUGAAAACACCAAAGAACAAGUAACGAAAAUGGACAACUAAAAAUCCCGAGGUCGACAGGUGGCAGGCUCCGUAACUCCUCCCGGAUCAAAAGUUAUGGCCAUUUUACUAGAGGAUAAUGCAGCAAAAAAUUUCAAGAAACAGCAGCAUAUCAAGCCGGGGAUUGCUCCUUUAUGCCUAAUACCCAAGACAGGGCUGGGGGUCCUGAGUUCAAUAACAACAACAUAGCAAGCCGGGGCUUGCUAUUAUGAAGGCAACAAGCAAGCCGGGGCUUGGCUACGCGCAUAAAGAGUAGUUUUUGUCAGAAUUUGAGUUCAAGAAGGAUUGAUUCGAGCCGUUUGAUUCAUGGACUUCUAAGAGGACUUAAAGACAUAUAAAGAGGCAUAUAAAAAGAGGAGAAUUACAAGGAUUAGAGAAAAAAGAGGAGGAUUCUAUUAGAUUAGAUUAGAGUAGAUUAGGACAAAACCCUAGUUCUUAGUAGUUUUGGAGAUUGAUGCAACUUGGAGACCAUUGAAGAUCAAGAGCAGGAGCUUGAGGAUGAUGGGGAUUUGCUGACAACAGAUUUAUUCUUCACUCUACUCUUAUUUUUGUCUUUCAAUGUUAUUUUAAGUGUGGAU